UACGUAGGUGGCAAGCGUUGUCCGGAAUUAUUGGGCGUAAAGCGCGCGCAGGCGGUCUUUUAAGUCUGAUGUGAAAGCCCACGGCUCAACCGUGGAGGGUCAUUGGAAACUGGGGGACUUGAGUGCAGAAGAGGAGAGUGGAAUUCCACGUGUAGCGGUGAAAUGCGUAGAGAUGUGGAGGAACACCAGUGGCGAAGGCGGGUCUCUGGACAGUUCCUGACGCUGAGGCACGAAGGUCAGGGGAGCAAACGGG
rnacentral:rRNA from 1 species